AGAUUGAACGCUGGCGGCAUGCCUUACACAUGCAAGUCGAACGGCAGCACGGGAGCAAUCCUGGUGGCGAGUGGCGAACGGGUGAGUAAUACAUCGGAACGUGCCCAAUCGUGGGGGAUAACGCAGCGAAAGCUGUGCUAAUACCGCAUAAGAUCUACGGAUGAAAGCAGGGGAUCGCAGGACCUUGCGCGAAUGGAGCGGCCGAUGGCAGAUUAGGUAGUUGGUGAGGUAAAGGCUCACCAAGCCUUCGAUCUGUAGCUGGUCUGAGAGGACGACCAGCCACACUGGGACUGAGACACGGGCCCAGACUCCGU
rnacentral:rRNA from 1 species